UACGUAGGGAGCAAGCGUUGUCCGGAAUCAUUGGGCGUAAAGCGCGCGUAGGCGGCCCUGUAAGUCCGUUGUGAAAGUCAAAGGCUCAACCUUUGAAAGCCGAUGGAUACUGCAGGGCUAGAGUCCGGAAGAGGCGAGUGGAAUUCCUGGUGUAGCGGUGGAAUGCGCAGAUAUCAGGAGGAACACCAAUAGCGAAGGCAGCUCGCUGGGACGGUACUGACGCUAAGGCGCGAAAGCGUGGGGAGCGA
rnacentral:rRNA from 1 species